UACGUAGGGGGCAAGCGUUGUCCGGAUUUAUUGGGCGUAAAGAGCGUGUAGGCGGCCAGAUAGGUCCGUUGUGAAAACUGGAGGCUUAACCUCCAGCUGUCGAUGGAAACCAUCUGGCUAGAGUCCGGAAGAGGAGAGUGGAAUUCCUGGUGUAGCGGUGAAAUGCGCAGAUAUCAGGAAGAACACCCGUGGCGAAGGCGGCUCGCUGGGACGGUACUGACGCUGAGGCGCGAAAGCGUGGGGAGCAAACAGG
rnacentral:rRNA from 1 species